rnacentral:tRNA from 1 species
GGCCUCGUAGCUCAGCUGGUAUGCAUGCGCGUACAAAGCGUAGGCGGUGUCCAUGCGUGGGUUCCAACCCCACCGAGGCUA